CUUCUAUCUUCAAAUCACUAGGCUCCUCAUUACCUGUCAUUUCUAGGACUGUUGAAGAUUCAGUGUCAUCUUCUUCAGCAACAGAAUUUCUCUUUCCAGUAGCAGAGAUAUCUUGGCAUUGUCCAUCAGAAUUUUCAGCCUCAAAAGCAACCUCAUCUCCAUUGUUUGAAUCAUCAAGUUGAUUUGCACUUUCCAUUUGAUUAUUGAUAUCGG
rnacentral:misc_RNA from 1 species